UUCGGCCCUAUUCUGAGGGCGACGUUUUGAAGCCGUUUGUGGCCUUUGCUGACUAAUUGACGACGCCCACAGCUGAACCAGGUCGUUUUGUAUCCAAUUGAAUUCUAGAUAUGAUUUCAGUUCAUUCCUACUUUGCCCUCGCUUUUUUUUCCGAGUUGCAUUGCCGUUGAUUGCGCUGUGGAGGAGGUAUCGAGUUUGCGAGGAAGGUGUUCGAUGAAAUGACGAAGCUGGACUCUGUUUCGAGAAGAACCUGUUCACGAUAGAGAUAAUCGAUGACUCGGCGGUGGUGACCCCAAGCUUUGGAUUGGUGAUCGAGCGAAAGCAAGUCUCUCGAAGAUUGAAGUCCAAAGAGGCUCGCUGAACGUGCUCGACAAUGCCAUGAUCGUGCCAGCGACGUCUUGCCCAGGGAUAUUUCAGGUGCACUAGUUGUCAAUCAUCGCCGGUGCUGCUCGUUUCCCAUGAAUUCAAGCUCCAGCAUGGUUCGUCAUUCUCGGUCAUGAUGACACAUACUUGAAGCACAUGGAGCAAGAAAUCUUCAAUCAAUUCAUGAAGUUGAGUUGUCAUGUCAUUCGAAUCCAUUGAAUCAGGAGCUCUCUAGAGCGUCGAAGUCCACAAAAGCAGGUCGCAGAGCUAGCACUCUGGAAUAGGCAGUUGAAGCGUUGAAAAGGGAAACAAAUUGAUGAGGAUGCCAAAAAAAAAAAAUUAAGUUAUAGGAUGGAGAGUGAUUUGGAGGAAAAAAUCAGAUCUUAUUCAGCAAAGAUUGUUAUGUCAAGAAGUGCUAAGGGACAAAGUGGCCAAAUUUGAAGCUGGUUUGUAUUCCAUGCUCUCUAACGCUCUUCCAUUUCAUGUUAUAGAAUGAGUUGAAGUUGGAAUAAUAUGAAGAGUCCAAGAUUUCUUUGAAACGUCUUUUCAAUGGGGUGAACACCGACUUGAAUGCUAUCAUGGUGGAUUGACGAAUAUCCACGAUGAAUGAAGAUGAGAUGGAAGGGGACGAUGUUCUCGCAGUUGAAUGGCAAACUGUUUGAUUGAUUUCUCUAGUAAAUUCGAGAAAUAAUGCUUUUCAUGAA